AACGAACGCCGGCGGCAGGCUUAACACAUGCAAGUCGAACGCCCCGCAAGGGGAGUGGCAGACGGGUGAGUAACGCGUGGGAAUCUACCUAGUUCUACGGAACAACUGAGGGAAACUUCAGCUAAUACCGUAUACGCCCUACGGGGGAAAGAUUUAUCGGAAUUAGAUGAGCCCGCGUAAGAUUAGCUAGUUGGUGGGGUAAUGGCCUACCAAGGCGACGAUCUUUAGCUGGUCUGAGAGGAUGAUCAGCCACACUGGGACUGAGACACGGCCCAGAUUCCUACGGGAGGCAGCAGUGGGGAAUAUUGGACAAUGGGCGCAAGCCUGAUCCAGCCAUGCCGCGUGAGUGAUGAAGGCCUUAGGGUUGUAAAGCUCUUUCAGUGGGGAAGAUAAUGACGGUACCCACAGAAGAAGCCCCGGCUAACUUCGUGCCAGCCGCCGCGGUAAAAC
rnacentral:rRNA from 1 species